rnacentral:rRNA from 1 species
UCGAGAAUUUUUCUCAAUGGGCGCAAGCCUGAAGGAGCGACGCCGCGUGGGGGAUGAAGGGUUUCGAUCCGUAAACCCCUGUCAUUUGUGAACAAUGGUUGCGAUUGAACAUUUCGUAACUUGAUAGUAAUGAAAGAGGAAGGGACGGCUAACUCUGUGCCAGCAGCCGCGGUAAUACAGAGGUCCCGAGCGUUGUUCGGAUUCACUGGGCGUAAAGGGUGCGUAGGUGGCAUGGAAAGUUUGAUGUGAAAGCUCAGGGCUUAACCCUGAAAUGGCAUUGAAUACUGCCGUGCUGGAGGUUUGGAGGGGGGACUGGAAUUCUUGGUGUAGCAGUGAAAUGCGUAGAUAUCAAGAGGAACACCAGUGGCGAAGGCGAGUCCCUGGACAACACCUGACACUGAGGCACGAAAGCUAGGGGAGCAAAC